rnacentral:rRNA from 1 species
AGAGUUUGAUCAUGGCUCAGAACGAACGCUGGCGGCAUGCCUAACACAUGCAAGUCGGACGCGUGGUUUCGGCCACGAGUGGCGCACGGGUGAGUAACGCGUGGGAACCUGCCCGGCAGUACGGGACAACCGCGGGAAACUGCGGCUAAUACCGUAUGAGCCCUGAGGGGGAAAGAUUUAUCGCUGUCGGAGGGGCCCGCGUCGGAUUAGGUAGUUGGUGGGGUAACGGCCUACCAAGCCUGCGAUCCGUAGCUGGUCUGAGAGGAUGAUCAGCCACACUGGGACUGAGACACGGCCCAGACUCCUACGGGAGGCAGCAGUGGGGAAUAUUGGACAAUGGGGGCAACCCUGAUCCAGCAAUGCCGCGUGAGUGAUGAAGGCCUUAGGGUUGUAAAGCUCUUUCGCACGCGACGAUGAUGACGGUAGCGUGAGAAGAAGCCCCGGCUAACUCCGUGCCAGCAGCCGCGGUA